AUGUAUUUUGUUAGUAUAAUUAGUAUAUUUGUUUUCCAAACAAAAGGUUUAAAUUUAUUGUAAACAAAAUAUUAGU
rnacentral:tRNA from 1 species